rnacentral:rRNA from 1 species
CAGUCGCCACGGUAAUACGUAGGGUGCAAGCGUUAAUCGGAAUUACUGGGCGUAAAGCGUGCGCAGGCGGUUAUAUAAGACAGAUGUGAAAUCCCCGGGCUCAACCUGGGAACUGCAUUUGUGACUGUAUAGCUAGAGUACGGCAGAGGGGGAUGGAAUUCCGCGUGUAGCAGUGAAAUGCGUAGAUAUGCGGAGGAACACCGAUGGCGAAGGCAAUCCCCUGGGCCUGUACUGACGCUCAUGCACGAAAGCGUGGGGAGCAAACAGGAUUAGAUACCCGCGUAGUCCCUGUCUCUUUAUA